rnacentral:rRNA from 1 species
UACAGAGGUCCCGAGCGUUGUUCGGAUUCACUGGGCGUAAAGGGUGCGUAGGUGGUGAGGUAAGUCGGAUGUGAAAUCUCCGAGCUCAACUCGGAAAUGGCAUUGGAAACUACCUUGCUUGAGGGUUGGAGGGGGGACUGGAAUACUUGGUGUAGCAGUGAAAUGCGUAGAUAUUGGGAGGAACACCAGUGGCGAAGGCGGCUACCUGGACCGGUUCUGACGCUGAGGCGCGAAAGCGUGGGUAGCAAACAGG